UACGUAGGGACCAAGCGUUGUUCGGAUUUACUGGGCGUAAAGGGCGCGUAGGCGGCGCGGUAAGUCACUUGUGAAAUCUCUGAGCUUAACUCAGAACGGCCAAGUGAUACUGCAGUGCUAGAGUGUGGAAGGGGCAAUCGGAAUUCUUGGUGUAGCGGUGAAAUGCGUAGAUAUCGAGAGGAACACCUGAGGUGAAGACGGGUUGCUGGGCCAACACUGACGCUGAGGCGCGAAAGCCAGGGGAGCAAACGGG
rnacentral:rRNA from 1 species